GAUGAACGCUGGCGGCGUGCUUAACACAUGCAAGUCGAACGGAAAUAGAAUGAAAAAGCUGAUGCUUGCAUCAGCAUGGGAUUUCUAUUUUAGUGGCGGACGGGUGAGUAACGCGUGGAUAACCUGCCUUACACUGGGGGAUAACACUUAGAAAUAGAUGCUAAUACCGAAUAAGCGCACAGGACCGCAUGGUCUGGUGUGAAAAACUCCGGUGGUGUAAGAUGGAUCCGCGUCUGAUUAGCUAGUUGGUGAGGUAACGGCUCACCAAGGCGACGAUCAGUAGGCGGCCUGAGAGGGUGAACGGCCACAUUGGGACUGAGACACGGCCCAAACUCCUACGGGAGGCAGCAGUGGGGAAUAUUGCACAAUGGGCGAAAGCCUGAUGCAGCGACGCCGCGUGAGUGAAGAAGUAUUUCGGUAUGUAAAGCUCUAUCAGCAAGGAAGAAAAUGACGGUACUUGACUAAGAAGCCCCGGCUAACUACGUGCCAGCCGCCGCUGUAA
rnacentral:rRNA from 1 species